rnacentral:rRNA from 1 species
GGAAUAUUGGACAAUGGGCGAAAGCCUGAUCCAGCCAUGCCGCGUGUGUGAAGAAGGUCUUCGGGUUGUAAAGCACUUUAAGUUGGGAGGAAGGGUUGUAAGUUAAUACCUUGCAAUUUUGACGUUACCAACAGAAUAAGCCCCGGCUAACCCUGUGCCAGCAGCAGCGGUAAUACAGAGGGUGCAAGCGUUAAUCGGAAUGACUGGGCGUAAAGCGCGCGUAGGUGGUUUGUUAAGUUGGAUGUGAAAGCCCCGGGCUCAACCUGGGAACUGCAUCCAAAACUGGCAAGCUAGAGUACGGUAGAGGGUGGUGGAAUUUCCUGUGUAGCGGUGAAAUGCGUAGAUAUAGGAAGGAACACCAGUGGCGAAGGCGACCACCUGGACUGAUACUGACACUGAGGUGCGAAAGCGUGGGGAGCA